AAAAAGGUAGAGAAAUAUUUAAAAUGGAAACAAAAGAAAAUAAAUAAGUAAAUAAAUAAAAGAUAGAUAAAUAAAUAAUGAAAAUAAAAUAAAAAAAUAAAAGAUAGAAUAAUAAAAAUAAAAUAAUAAGUAAAUAAAUUAAAAUUAAAAAAAAAGAGGUGUGGAGGUGCUUAAAUAAGAGAAGGGGNGUCUAACCUAUUUUUUUUAUAAACAGAUUGGGCCUAAGCCCAGAGGAAAAGGGGUGAGAUUUAGCAGAAAUGAGGGUGCGCAAGGGAAAAGGGUUUUUUAGCUAGAUUGGACUUGAGCCCAAAGGAAGCGGGGGCGUGAGAGCUAAAGCAGGGGGUGCGAAAAGGGUUUUUUUGUUGUUGCUUUCUUUUACUUGGCCCAAACAGAAAAUCAAAAUGAAGGGGGGCUGUGAAUACGAAAAAUGGGGGUGCAAAGGGGAAAGGUUUUUUUGAAAAGGCCCAGCGUUGGCCCAAGGCUUGGCUGCCUAACUCAGAAAAUAGGGUUCUCAUUCCCCAUCUCAUUUCACACUCAUAUUCCAAAUGCCAGAGCUAGGUUUUCUCGAGAGGGAGAGAACCAUGGAGGUUUCGUGUCC
rnacentral:lncRNA from 1 species